AUCAAUUACGAUAAGUCUUCAAUCUUUUUUAGUAAGGGAGUUCCAGAAUCGGUGAGAGUUGAAAUUAAAGGAAUCCUAAAUGUGCCAAGUGAAACCCUCAAUGAGAAAUAUCUGGGCAUGCCAUCUGAUGUUGGGACAUCAAAGAAUGGGGCCUUUAAAUAUUUGAAGGACCGAUUGUGGAGCAAGAUA
rnacentral:rRNA from 1 species